UCCGGCCACAUCACGUUGAAACACCUGUUACUGUACGAUCACCGAAGUUAAGCAUCGUCGAGCCUAAUCAGUAACUAGAUGAGUGACCGCUUGGAAAUACCAGGUACUGUAG